UACGGGGGGGGUAAGCGUUGUUCGGAAUUACUGGGCGUAAAGGGCUCGUAGGCGGCCAACUAAGUCAUACGUGAAAUCCCUCAGCUUAACUGGGGAACUGCGUGUGAUACUGGAUGGCUUGGAUUUGGGAGAGGGAUGCGGAAUUCCAGGUGUAGCGGUGAAAUGCGUAGAUAUCUGGAGGAACAUCGGUGGCGAAAGCGCUCUGCUGGACUGCAACUGACACUCAGGGACGAAAGCUAGGGGAGCGAAUGGG
rnacentral:rRNA from 1 species